UCUGAUUGUUCUUUGAAACUCAAGAGCAUGAAGCUGGAAUCCCUAGUAAUCGUAGAUCAUCACGCUACGGUGAAUCUGUAUCCAAGUCUAGUACACACCGCCCGUCACGCUAUGGAAAUUGGUAUAGCCG
rnacentral:rRNA from 1 species